rnacentral:lncRNA from 1 species
AUUAAUUGAUACAUGUGUCAUGCAUCAUAAACAUUGAUGUCAUUAAAUUUUUAUUUUCUCUAUUUAAAUGCAUAAUCAUCCCAAUAACCUCAAAUACAGUCAGUGAGAAACACUGCAAAGUCAAGAAACAGCAGUGCUGUUAGAAUGUAAGUAUUUUCCAAUAAUAGUUAUUUCACAUUUCACUUAAUUGUGGAUAAGUGUUAGAUAUCUGCUGGGUGAGAUAAGUUGCUGUUGUAGAAAGGAAAAAUAUAGUUUAUUUUCAGAUGUGGAUUUAUAAAAUGAAUCUUUGGAUAACAGAUCAGUAAAUUUUCCAUACAGUGAAAAACUUUAAUUGCAAAUAUUACUUGUUACUUCAUUUAAAAUUUUUCCUUGGUUAAGAGUUACUGAAUAAUUAAAAGGUCAGCAAUUUAAAUUAAAUCAAGUGUGAUAAAAUAUCUACCUAUAGUAGAUUUUUAAAAAGUAAAAUUGUAUUAUUUAGCCAUUUGGGAACAUCUUAGUCAUCUAACAAGUAUGCCCCAGCAAAUAAAGAACAGGACAUGAAAGGAUUAUGUUAAUAUAAGCGCAUUUUGCCCUAAAGAAAACAGUCUUGUAUUUAAGAUUCUUGCAG